CGAGUAGAUAUAAACAGCAUAAUUAUGCACAUUUUAUCAAUUUUUCUAAUAUCAUAUUUAUAUUAUAUUGUCAAUUUCCAUUUACGUGCGGAUUUUUUGUUCAGCUUACCGGCUCGAAAUCUGGUCCGCAGUCGGGUAGUUAGAUAGGUUAGACAAUAGGUAUUUUAUGUAUUUUAGGUAGGAAACACUAACGUGAGCAUGGCGUUUUCUUUUUUUUUUUAAAUAUCUUUUAUAAACACCGAUUGUCAGAACAUAAUAUUAUGGGAAUAGAUAACCGACAGCAUUCGCAAUUACAAUACAUUUUUACCGACUUUCGCAUUCGGUUUUGUUAUCGUAAUAUACGGCGUCAAGGGUGCCUGCAAGGGAUGCCAAUGAGAGAACAACUACUUUCCCUAGAUUUUAAUCAGUCUGUAUUUUUUUUUUUUUUGGAUAAAAUCAUAAUCUCUUCUUCUUUUCACUCACAGCUGUUUUUCCAGUCACCUUGCUGUAAAUCUAAACCUGACACGGUCUCCCACAUCAUCUAUGCACAAUCCUCCCUUUUUCCCACAACUGUAAACACAACCAUCUUUUUUUCGUUUUUCUCUUCAAUUUUUCAUUUUCAUAUUCGUUUGUAAAAAUAAUUCAAACAGCCCAUCACCUCUUCGGUCUUCUUCUUUCAGUCAUCUGUUUACAACUCAUUUACAAUAUUCUAUUCUUAAAAGAUUUUCUUUCUUCAUAAUGUAGGACAAUUUUUUCGGAUUAUUAUGUCCAACGGGAAUUGAGCUCUCUGCAUUUUCUCUAGUUACACCCUCUAAUCGUGUUACUCCAUUUAUUACUCUUAUACCUCAUACAAAAUUAAUUAUAAUAUUACAACAUUACGUUGUCACUUAUAGAUCAUUUCAACUUAGUGCGUACGGGGAAGUAACAUCAGGGUUCGCCAAAACGUUAACUUAUUCGGUUUUUCCGAUAAUACCUAAUCAGUCCGAUAACAUUGUAAAUAAUUUUUACGAUUAAAUUAAUAUCGUAUUAUCGGUUGUAUAAUAAUCGCAAUGAUGCUAAGAAUUAAAGAAAGGUAUUGCAGUGUACCAAUAUUAUAAAUUGUACUCGGGGUUCGGGACUAAAAAUCAAUACAAAAAAAAAACUCUUAAAAAGCUUAACAAGCCAUUUAAUAAGUCCCUAUUUCAACCCUUAAAAAGUAUUGAAAAAAAGAAAAAGCAUUUUUAUUAUUAUUAUUUCACUAUUGAAGUAACCGAAAAAAAGAUUUCAUUUUUGAGUUCGUUGUAACAUGACACAUAUUUGCAUAGCGUCCUAAUAGAUUUCAUCCCAACGACAAAAGUAAAUAUGUCCCGAAGCCUGCAGACAAUAGUCAUUAUGUCGGUUUUGACAUAUGGGGUGCCGCGAACAGUAACAGCAUUCGGUUGUAGUCUACAUGUCUUGUGCUAAUGGUAUUUGUAUUAUUUUUUCUUUCUAAUGGAAACGUUUACUUGUUAGUUAUUGAUAAUAAUGAUAUUAGUUAUAGAUUGUGUUGUUAUAUUUUAAGUUCAUUACUUUGACGUGAUGGAAGCCUUUUCGAAAUUCGUCCUACUGUGAUACGAUAUACUACGCACCAGCCCUAUAGCAACGACGCUAUUACGGGCAAGCUAGUUAAAAAAAAAAAAAAAAAAAAAAAUUCCCUCCGAUUUAAUUCAUAUUAAUAGCGAAAUAUUCGAGUUUGAUUUGAAUUUGAAACGACGUAAAUUCGUGCUGUUCUUCGGAUUUCAUAAUGCCAUUGUGGUCUGAUAUUGAUUCGCGCAUAUAAAAGAUUAGUCAUCGUACGCCACCAUUUUUAUUUUGCCCUUUAGUAUUUUUAUAGGUUUUGCAGGUUUGUUUUAUUCUCACUUUUUUUCCGUCUUGUUUAACGAUAAGUGUUAAUUUUAAGAAGUUAUUCGAUUAUAAUGUCAAUUAAAAAUAAAAUAUAUUAUAUGAAAUACGAUUUCCGGUAUAUAUUAUACUGUAUAAUAAUAAUGCAAUAAUUAGUAUUCGUAAAACUCGAUAAUAAUAUUCGUACUAGAAUUUUCAGAAAUGUUGAUAAAUAUUAACACGUAUAAUAAAUAAAUGCGUGUCCGAUUGUUAUAAGUUCGAUUGGUUUUUACCCCGACAUGGCGUUUGUUCGUAAUUGUGUUCUCAUUUCCGUAUUUGCGUCCUAUCCGAAUCUAACAUACGACGUGAAUAAUAUUAUAAUGUAUAAGUAAAUAGGAAACCGCGUGUGAAUAUUCAAAAGCAUUACUGAGCGAAUUAUAGUUUCAAAUAUAUCGGUUGAAUUAUUUUCAAAGUAAAUUAGCAAAUAAGUUUUCCGGUUCUUCGACACGGCUCCCUUCGCCGAUUCCCGCGACGCACAGUUUGAACGCCACUGAAUCAUAAAACGCCUUUAUAAAACACGCAUAAAAACUACACGAAUCGUCGGGCAUUUUGUUCGUCUUCUUAUAGUAAAUUAGGUCGGUAUCUGUUUAUUAUCUAUAAUGUUAGUCGGAUGGCGUUUCGAACGCGAUAACAAUACCUAUACAUAUAUUCGUGUUCAGCGGUGUGUACCGCAGAUACAUAAAACAUUAAAUCUAAAAGUUGGCGGCCAUACACCAAGAGAGCGAUUUCGGUUUAUUCACUCAUGAGUAACGUCCAUUAAUGAUCUCGGCGUCCAAUUCAACUCUGCGAUUUGUUCCGAACACCGUGCGGACUUCGAUGUGCAUAUCGAUGUCACCGUAGUAAGAGACUUAAUAACUGUUGGCUUUAUUGUGAGCGCGAUGUUCGAAAUCUCGCCCAGCUUCGUCCGGUCCUUUCACGUUUCCUUGUUCCGGUAUUUACUGGAAUUCACUGGCGUUCCUAUUUAUCGUUCAUUCUUCACCGAAAAUCGUCUAAAGCUUAGACGCCCGCAAACCAAACGUCUGGCCCGCGAUGUCUUUAUUCUCGAAUUACCAAUAACCCACGACUAUACUCUCAUCCGUACCGCAUUAAACAGUCCUUUUCUUCGCUCAUGCCGCGUCGCCUUAAACCGGAUCCAGACUUCACCUCGGCUAUACUAAUUCGAUAUUAUACCAAACGCACGCACGCACCUAAUUCACUUGAACCAGUUGCUUUCAAUGGUCUUCUCACCACACCCACAACCAUAAUUUGUUUACCGUCCCAACUCAAUCUACCUCCUAUGGUCACAAAACCCCUUCUUCGCACUUUUUCCGUGUGAUUUCUACUUUAACUUCUUCUUUUGGAUAUCGCUAUUACCAUGGUCAUUCGGUGCAAUAUUAAGUCAAUGUUAUUGGAAAUGACCGCGGUCGUGCACUCCGUUAAUAAAUGAAUAUUUGUUCCGCGUUAAAUAUUUGAAGUCAAUCACAAAUCGUUUCCAUAUGCUUAUAUCUACUUGUAAUGUAAUCAUAUCAUUCGUGGCAUAAACAAAUAUUUCACGGGUUAAUCCGAUACGUCCUCUUGGCAUGUGACUGCUAACAACAGACCGAAUUGUAAGGAUUUUGUUCGCAGGACGACUGAUGCAUCGCUUGAGUGGGUAGUGGAUACGACGUUUUAUACGUAUCCGUGACCAGCUAGGAAAAAAGUCGAACAAAUUGUAUUUCAAAAAGUUUUCAGUUUUUAUCAUCGCUAUAAUGUCUAAAAUACAAUAUUUGUGUUAUACGCAUACAUUUCAUAAUUACCACGGUUUUCUAAAUCGCACCUGUAUGCAUGCAGGCACUACAGGAUUAUUAAACUAGUGAUAAAUUAACAUUUAGAUGUUCGAAUUACAACAGCGUAUUCCUUAAAUCAGAUAUAGCCGCGCAUUUUUUGUGCCGUAGAUCUAUACGCGAAAUGUGUCCGAACGCACGUUGAAAUAAGACCAACGGCUGUCAAAUGUAUGGGGGUACCCAUCUUGUGUGACUCUAUUUUUAUGGUAUUACGGUGUGUAGACAAAUUAGAGACAGCAAACUGUUGCGACUCCGGGUCGCGUGCAACUUUACACAACCAAUAACGGCGACAUUUUGCGUUCGGUUAAACGAAAAUAGAUCUAAUCAAACGCAGAGUCGAUGACGAAUCGAUAAGUUGUUAAAACGAUUUCAGUUCUGUGACGUGUGCUGUUCAAACACACCAUAUUUCUUAUCGAUUAAUUGCGAUUUGGUUAACGCGUACAACACACGAACAAUAUCGGCCGAUAACAAACGAAUAACAAUUUCGACGCAUGGAUAUCAAAAUCAAAAUUAAGUACUCGCAUGGAACGCGAUCUAUAAUUCGAUAAACACUCGCUUUUACCGUACCGAUUGAUUAGGGAACCGACAGAUUGCAAAAACAGCGUUCGUGCUACCCGGCACAAGUAUAUUUAGGCGCGUUUUAGGAACGGCUUUCGAUAUUUCAUUCGGUAUAUUUACCCCGUCGGGAUUUUUCUUCUUAUUUGAAUUCACGGUAAACCGUAUUGACUAUUGCAAUACACAUUAUGAUAAUGUUUUAAUCAGGUUUUAAAUCAAUAUUAAUUACACAUUUACCUAUAAUAAUAAUAAUAUAUGAGUAAUGUUUAAAACGGUUAAGGUAAUAUUAUUUGACUAAUUAUAUUAUAAUUUUACGAUUAAGAUGCGAGAUAACUAUACACGGUUAUCUCGAGAGGCUGACGCGACAAUAAUUAGCAUUAAGUUAGUAUUAAGAUGAUAAUAAUAAUAUAUUAUUAUAAUUUGUAAGAUUUUGUUUUGUUUUAUAAUUUGUUGAUUUUCUGUUAUUCUAAAUACUAUCUAAAUUCUAAUUAUUAGACCUCGUAUUAUGUUUGUUUUCAGUUUAAGUCAUUAUUAUUGUGUGUACGUGUGUGUAUUAUGAUGUUAUGAUUUUUGUUGAUUUUGUGUAUUAUUUAGUUUUGUAAUUAGGUAAGACGUAAUAAUGAUAACGUUAUCGUGUUUUGUUGUUUUGUUGCUUUUCGGUUAUGCGGACCGGUUGACAUUUUUCUCGAGAUUCCGUCUGACACACUUACAGUAUUAAAUUUUUAAUAACGAUUUUCCUACACGAACUCCGACAAUAACAAUAAUAACUACUAAUAAUAUUAUAAUAACGCGACUAUGUGAGACGAUACGAAUUUAAAGCGCACUCGUUACAUUAAACAAAACAAAAACGAUAAAAGUAUAUUAUUUUUAAUAAUAAAAAAAAAAAAUAUUACAACGUUGAAAAAAAAAAAACGCACUUAUAUUAAACAGUUAAAAUACACGUUCGCACCGCACUGGUUACUCGAAAAGCACACAAUAUUAUUAUUAUUAGUUAUUUACCCGUUAUAUUUUUCACAGAUUGUACACAGUAUAAUAUUAUUUAUUAUGAUAAGUUCGUUUGUAAGGAAUAAAAUCCGUAGCCGUAAGUUAGCUUGUAAGUAUAGACACGAUAAAUGAUUAUUGUUACGAUUAAGCAUGCGUUAGGUAAACGGUAUUAUUUUUUUUCCCGGUCGUGUUGUCGCUCGAAGUAAAUUUCAAAAGAAAAUUAGAAAUUUCCGAAACGCGUUUUCCGCUCGCGCGAGCGCUGAGAAAAUAAAAAUCAAAACCCGGCUUACGAUAACGUCACGAAAACGGUAUAAAAUGCGAAACCGGCCGAGAGACGAGUAAAAUCAAAAAUACUACACGCGUACUUACGUAAACCAUACUUAACAUUUAUCCCGCACUCGGUACGCGCAAUACAUUUUGUAGCUUUUGAAGCUUAUUGUAUUGAACCGUACAUGUGUAUAGAAUAAAAAGCGAACGUCUUCAAAAACCGCGUGCCGUGCCCGUCGGUUGGCACGUAAAACGUUUUUAUUCGAUUUAUCGCGUACCUAUAGGUGGCGCAGAGGCGAACGCGCUAUAAUUAUACGUCUUCUACGCAAACAAUGCAAUAAGAAAAGCGAAAUUUUAUCCGUUUUUCGAAAAAUACACAUAAUAUUAUAAUAUAAUAAUAAUAAUAAUAAAUAUUAAGUAUUUAUAUAUUUAUAGUCUUUGUAACGGGUAGGCAACAAUUUUCGUCAAAUUUUUUCGAUUUUCGUUUAGAUAUUGCGUGCAAUUUUACGUCGUUUAUUAUUACAGUAGGUUUAUACAAUUAUCGUAGGUAUAUUAUUAUAUUACUACAUAUAUUAAAUUUCCGUAAAAAAAAAAAAAAAAUUAAUAUGUAUUCAAUAUUUUAUUAGAAAAGAGUAACGACGACGACGGCGGCGGCGGCGGCGGCGGUUAGCGUUGGUGGUUUUUUUUUUUUUUUUGUGGAGCACUUUUAAAAGAUUCUCGAGUUCCAAUCGAACGUUGCAGUAAUCAUUUCUCGUAAACCGCCAUUUAAACGAUCGUAUGUAAAGAUAUUAAGCGAAUCGAUUUUCUGACUGUAUUCUCUAUGAUAAAAAAAAGUUUACAAUUUAUCGGCUAAAACCGUACUGAAAUUAACAAUAAUUACGCGAAAAACGUGUCCGAAACGUUCAUCGCUACACGAGAAGUUAUUUUAUCGCUUACCUUAUGUAAGACACCUGUAAUAUGUUUUACCAUUUUUAACGUUAAUAUUAGCCGUUUGAUGCGUGUGUACCUAUAAUACUCGUAAUUUAAUAUUUUUUAGUGAAUAAACGUAAAGUACAUAUUUUGAUGGUUGAAGAAAAAAAAAACUGUUGUUGCGCUGACUACGUUAAUUGUUUAAUUUGUAUUAUAUAUGUUUGUUUUGGCGGGGCGUCUACGGGGACAGCGAUGAAUGAGCUACUCGAACGAGCAACAAUUUGUUUACUCGGGUUGACGAACGAAUUCGCGUGUCAAACAUGUUAUCCAAAUUAAUUAAUCAACAAACCAAAUUGAUUUAUCGUUAGAUUUUCGGAUUAUCGUUUGAAAACAUUAUAUUCGAAAGAAAUAACCGAUGAUCCCGUUCCGCUGUUUCAGUAGGUAUAAAAGAAAAAAAAAACUCCAAGCAGCCGACAAAAAUGUUGAAAAGCGGUGGUAAUUUUGUUUAGAAAAAAAUCAAAAAAAUCUUCGAUUAAAUGAACCAAAAUCAAAUGCUGAAAAUCAGACAAAAGGCGAAUAAAUAGUAUAGAGGGCGAAGGAAAAUUAUUUAUGUCCGUUUUGACCAUGAACGAUGAUAAUUUAUAAAAUUCAAUUAAUUUUGUAGGUACCAUUUUAACGUAAUGUGUUUUACUAUUUUGAAUUAGACGUUAACGAGCGCAUUUUCGGUUAUUUUUUUUUUCAAAUUUAUUCUCAAUAUUUAGGCGUUUUCUUGAUACGGACCUUCAAAUUUUCACAAACAAUUAAUAUUAUUACUUUUGAAAAUACCAACCUGAUUAGUUCGUGGAUCCGAUUAGGCGAUCCGGUACACUUGAAAUAUGAUAAGCCGGUUUUUAAAGUAUUCGAGUCGGUUAGAUGUCUGUCUCGGUGACGGUAUAAGACGGUUCGAAUACUUUUUAGAAAAAAUAUUCGAAUACGUAUUCUGAAUGUUUUCUUUCUUUUGUUCACUAAAAAAAAAAAAAAAUACUUUUAUUCUGAUAACAACAACAGUUUUAAAUGGAAUGUAUUACCGCAAUAUUAAAUCGUACAGAUUUUAAAAUGUUCUGAGCACGUUUUUUAAAACCCGUACUCUUAUGCGUCGUGUAUCGCGUGCUUUUGCCGUAUUCAGAAUGCGUUAGAAAAACGUAGCUAUUCGUAACGCAAGACCGAAAAUUGAUACGAGAAUUGUUCUAGACCGCCCGUUAAUCUGUCGCUAAUCUUCGGCGCCGCCGCCGCCGAUCGUCCCGAACAACAAUACCGUUAUCGCCGCGGUGAUAACACGUAAACGGGUGUGUCGGUAACAUGUCGCGGCGGCGAAAUACCGUGUAAAAAACCGUACGUUCUCGUCUGCGGGCCGGACCGCCGCGGUUUCCGGCCGAUAAAAAACGGCGCGGGAUUGCCGGUAACGUCGCGUACGCCGCAGGACGAGUCGGAGUUGCCGACGCGCCCGUUUGCUGCUUGUCGUUUUUCAUUAUACGCGCGCGCAUCGAUAUAAUCCGCAGACAUCAAUCGCAAUGUUCUGUAAUGAUUUAUAACAUUCGCUCGCGUCUAACGGCAUAAUAGCAUUCAGGAUCCGUCGCCGUUGUAUUGCGCGCUGCGGUUCGAUUGAUUUCGGUUUUGUAACGCGCCAACGGCACAUCCGCAAGUUACUAUCGCGCUGCUACAAGAUCAAUAACAUUGUAAUGUCCCGUUCUUUUCAAACGAAAAUUAUAACAUUACGUAGUCAUGUCGGUCACGCGUAACGGUGUAAAAUGUAUACGUAUUUCGUUCAAAUAAAAAUUAUUAAACCAUU